GUGAUUGAGGUUGAGAGCCUGAUCAGAAAAGUCUUCUUUUAAGAAAAUAACAGCCAUGCCAUGGACAGUGAAAGUGUAAGCUUCCACACACCACCUUGCUAGAGUGCCCCAGCCCCAAUGUGGAGGGAGUAUCCAUGGGGGCUGAAGACAUCAGCAGUUGGGAUGGACAUAUCUGCCUAUAAUAAGAAAAUUAUGCAACCUUCCUAUGGAGAAUACUGGACAGAAGAAAUUUUGUAUGAAAUGCAAUCCAGUGCUGUUUGAAGCUUGACACUAUCAUUUGAUGGAACAUCUUUCUUUCUGGAAAUGACCCUACAUUGGAGAGAGGUUGUUUUGCAUCCUCGGUGUUACAGUUUCCAGGUCAGAGCUACUGGAACAAUGCUCUUACAUGGGGCUGAUUAUUAUGCCAUCAUCCAUGCUGACAUAAUUGUGUACCUGGGCCAUCUGCGUCUGCCUUUUCCAGCACCUUCCUAUGGACAGCUCCAGGGCACUCGCUUGAGGUCAGAAUGGACUCCUACUGGGUUGUCCAUAUAUUUGUCUUGUAGGAGAGAACAAUCUGUCAAUGAAUUUCAAAGCUGUUAAACAAAACAUCCACUGCUUCUAAAUAUUAGAACACCAAAUAUCCAUGUGUACACACCAAACAAAUAUAUCUAUGUAAUUCAGUAAACAUGUCAGUUAGUACUGUUAUAAUUGCUAGAAUGGGAUUUUAAUCAGUUUAAUUAUUUAAA